rnacentral:misc_RNA from 1 species
CCUCAAAAUACUCAAGUUCCGGGAGGAGGUCACGACACUUUAGGCGUGAUAGCCGUGGGACAGGACAGGAAUCUCGCUGUCGGUGUGUCCACUAGCGGUGCCCCCGGGAAACACCCCGGCAGGGUCGGGGAUAGCGCGCUGCCGGGGGGAGGACUUUAUGCAAACCCCCAGGGUGCGGCCUGUUGCAGCGGGGACGGGGACGAAAUCUUAAAGUUCUGUCCCUCCUUCCACAUUGUUCACCUUAUCUCCCAGGGUCGGAGCCCUCAGGAUGCUUGUGAAGAAGUAGUCCAAAAUAUAUACAGACAGAAUAAGCACAUGGAGAUCGCUGUUAUAGCGGCAGAUAUCAAGGGUCAAUAUGGAGCCUGUUCCACUGUACAGUCUUGGACCGACCCUCUGACUCAGAAGCAGUACCCAGGAUUCCCUUAUGUCAUCUGGUCUAAGGACUUGUCCUGCCCAGAAAUUAAUGUGGCUCCCACCAUCUCCUGAUUACAAGGGGGACAACUCCUGGAGUAUCCCCCCCCCCCCCCCACUAUUUUAAGACAUGACAACGAACCAGAUCACAGGGGACAAGAAAUGAAGCUCUACUGCAACAAGUGAACCUGAACUCUUGUUUGAGGGUGGAUCAGAUUCACUCAGGCAUGGAAUGUGGCACAUUAGAUCCAUGUUACUUAUCAAAUAAAAACAAUUCCUUCUUUC